AGAGAUGUGUGAUGACGCAUAUCAAUAAGCGGAGGAAAAGAAACUAACUAGGAUUCCCUUAGUAACGGCGAGUGAAGCGGGAAGAGCUCAAAUUUGAAAUCUUCAAGGUUCUACCUUGACGAAUUGUAGUUUAAAGAAGUGUUUUCUGUUGGAGUUUUGGUAAAAGUUCUUUGGAAUAGGACAUCAUAGAGGGUGAGAAUCCCGUAUUUGACCAUUUCUUCCAGCUGUGUGAUACACUUUCAAAGAGUCGGAUUGUUUGGGAAUGCAGUCCAAAAUGGGUGGUAAAUUUCAUCUAAAGCUAAAUAUUGGCGAGAGACCGAUAGCGAACAAGUACCGUGAGGGAAAGAUGAAAAGAACUUUGAAAAGAGAGUUAAGCAGUACGUGAAAUUGUCAAAAGGGAAGCGUUUGACACCAGUGUUGUUUUUCCGAAAAUCAAUUACGAAUGUUUUGUUUUUGAGAAGUUAUGACUUCAUCGGCUUGCUUCUCUCUUUAUGAAACUUUCUUAAUGCACUUUUCGGUUAACAAGUCAACAUCAAUUUCUUUUGUUGUAAAAGGGUAUGAGGAAGGUGGCUUUCUUUUCGGAGAAAGUGUCUUAUAGCCUUGUACCUCUGCAAUCGGAGAGAUUGAGGUCUGCAGCGUAGAUCCUUCGGGGUUAGAUACAUUUGUGCUAAGUUAUAGCUUUUCAUAGACAACUUGUUGACUAUGUUUAGUCUUGUAGCUUACUCGCUUAUGCUAUUUUACCUACGCUUAGGAUGUUGAAGAUGUAGCACAUCAU
rnacentral:rRNA from 1 species